UACAGAGGUCCCAAGCGUUGUCCGGAUUUAUUGGGCGUAAAGAGCGUGUAGGCGGCCUGAAAGGUCAGCUGUGAAAACUCGAGGCUCAACCUCGAGACGUCGGUUGAAACCAUCUGGCUAGAGUCCGGAAGAGGAGUGUGGAAUUCCCGGUGUAGCGGUGAAAUGCGCAGAUAUCGGGAAGAACACCCGUGGCGAAGGCGGCACUCUGGGACGGUACUGACGCUGAGACGCGAAAGCGUGGGGAGCGAACAGG
rnacentral:rRNA from 1 species